GAUGAACGCUGGCGGCGUGCCUAAUACAUGCAAGUCGAGCGAACGGACGAGAAGCUUGCUUCUCUGAUGUUAGCGGCGGACGGGUGAGUAACACGUGGAUAACCUACCUAUAAGACUGGGAUAACUUCGGGAAACCGGAGCUAAUACCGGAUAAUAUUUUGAACCGCAUGGUUCAAAAGUAAAAGACGGUCUUGCUGUCACUUAUAGAUGGAUCCGCGCUGCAUUAGCUAGUUGGUAAGGUAACGGCUUACCAAGGCAACGAUGCAUAGCCGACCUGAGAGGGUGAUCGGCCACACUGGAACUGAGACACGGUCCAGACUCCUACGGGAGGCAGCAGUAGGGAAUCUUCCGCAAUGUGCGAAAGCCUGACGGAGCAACGCCGCGUGAGUGAUGAAGGUCUUCGGAUCGUAAAACUCUGUUAUUAGGGAAGAACAUAUGUGUAAGUAACUGUGCACAUCUUGACGGUACCUAAUCAGAAAGCCACGGCUAACUACGUG
rnacentral:rRNA from 1 species